UUUAACUGGACGAAUGCGGAAGCCUUCCUGGCGAACAAGGUCAGCAAGCCGACUUUCUCCGAAGUCGGACCUUUUCUGUACUCAGAGAUCCUCGAGAAGGUGAUGCUCGGUUUAACACGAAGAACUCCACUAUCAGCUACCGCAGGCGUAGUUAUUUCGCUCCCGGACGACCCUCCUGGACGAGACCCUCCUUACGCGCAGCGUUACCAACCUGAACGUAGUGGCCUUAACUGCCGCAAACCGCGGUAAAACGGAAGGCUACGGUGCUGAACGGGGCAUAUCCUUCGCCCUGUACAACUUGGAUCAGAAAGUCCUAGUGACGCAACAAGCGGGCGAACUACUGUUCGACGGCUACCCCGAACCGAUGAUCCAGGAGAUGUUGGACGUUCUGGGGACCACUCCACAGAAUGGUCUGGACGUGGAGGACCGUUUCGGCUGGUUCCGAGCUGUCAACGGGUCCAAGAAGUUCCACGGGUUCUUCAACAUGAACUCCGGCAAGGAGGACGCCAGCCGGUACGGGUU